CAGCUGUAGGAACUGCACACACCAUCGAUUUAUCCAGCCCAUGGCAUAGCCAUCCGGUCAGCCACCCAUGCACUUAGCACACAUACGUUGAGUGUGUCUGUGUUAGCUGCCAGACUGUGAGAGUGAACAGUGAGUACCUGCCUGGAGCUCUCCAUCCCUGGGGCGGCGGACGUGGGGUUUCCGGUUAGGGAUGUUUUUUUGCUUUGACUGUAGGAAUGAGGCAUUUGGAAAGGAUUAUGGGAACAUCCACGGCUUGUCAGUUCUUAGUGACAGGAACAAGAUACAGAUUAUUGCAAGACAGUUGUGAGUCUAUGCAGCCAGCUUCUUUCCUGAGGGCUGUCCUUGCUGCCGCCUCUGCCAUCACCCCACAAGAAUGUAGUGCUCUUAACUCUGUCCAGUGAGUAGGCAAAGGGAUAGGUCCAACCAGGAUGCCUUUCUGGGGAGACCUCUACCUUCUUCUCCAUACAGCAAGGCCCUUGGCUACUCCUGUCAUUCAGCCUGGCUGCCUGGGCUUCUAGUCCAUCUGCUGUAUUAUUGGUGGUAGCUAGGGUACCUGCUUGCUCAGGGGGUCUGGCUGAUUGCAAACUAUGGACCAUUCUUUUUUGAAUUUUCACAACCUCACCUAUGGAAGGAGAAUAAUGAUGGCAUGGCCCUUCUUCCAGGGUCACAACCCAGGAAGAGAGAAACCAUUACUGAAGCCCAUACUGCUCAGACCCUGGUACAUACAACUCCUCCCUUGAGGAAGGUGAUACUGAAAACUGUGAGAAUCUUGUCCUCAGAAGACUGUGGGAAAGGGUCUAUUGUAGCCCAUUUUACAGAUAAAGAAACUGAGGUGAGUGGCAGUGUGAGCUGGAUUGGCCCUCACUGUGUUGUCUCUAGUUAUGACUACAAAAGGAAGAUUUCCAGUUGGCUUUGUAGGCCCAUGAAAAACCAUCAGUUUCCAUUAAAAAAAGAAAAAAUCUCAGGCAUCAUGUAUUAUUGCAGACCCAGAGGGCUGCCUGGACCACCAGUGAGGAGCCUGCAGCUCCUCUGACUCAUUCCCUGGCUAAAGCUCUGUCCCAGAAUUGUCAGCCAUUUCCCCCCCCCCCCAUGCCUGAGGCUCAUGGGCACUGUCCUUGAGCUUUCUGGGCUAAAGGCCACCAAAGGCCACCUGCUCUCUGUUGUAUGUCCCUCCUUUCUAAUGCCAGAUGCUCCCAAGUUCAGACACAGACCCCAGAAGAGCACAGACUUGGCCAGGAGAUUCCAGACAAGAAAGUGGCUGAAAGAAUCCUCGUGCCGGAAAUCCUGACAGCUGCCUGGCUAAAAGGUCCUGGGCACUGGGCCCUGACCCAGGCCAGGAGGAGGCCAUGUCAGGUGUCCAGAGAAGUUGGGGGAGGUGAUAGCUGAAGUUAGAGGCAGUCUGCCUGUGGUUAGCAAGCUGUCAACACCUCCUCAGCUGCCAGAGGCCUGAAGGCCUGGAGCUGGGGGAGGGGUUGUGCCCUGAUCUGGAUGGUCUGAGGGAGGACCUCCAGAAGCUGAUGGGCUCUGCCCUGAGGGAUCUGAGAGAGCAACAGGGCUCUAUUCUGAGGGGUCUAAGGAGUCAAGACUUAUCUUGGGGGUGGGUGUCCACGAAGCAUCAGGCCCUGUCCUGAAGAGUUUGAGGAAGUGAUGAACCUGUUCUCAAGUCUGAGAAGGCCAUCGAGUUUUGUCCUGAGGAUCUGACAGGCUUUGUCCUGAGGGGUCUAAGCAGGUCUUGCCCUGAUGGGCCCAGAGAAAGAAGCAGAGUUAUAUACUAUGCUAAGGAUCUGGCCUGAGGAGCCUGGAGAAGGGAUCGGCUUCUGGUCUUAUGAGCUGGCAGACAGGAUAUACCUACAUGUAUACACACACAUUCCUUUUCUUUUCCUUUUUUUUUUGUUGCUGUUCUUUUGUUUUGUUUUUUGUGACAAGGUUUUGCUAUGUAGUGGUGUUUGGGAUGGAACUCACUAUGAAGGCCAGGCUGGCCACAAACUCUACAGUUGUCCUCUUGCCUCUGCCUACUGAAAACUGAGGUUACAGGUGUGCCCCCACCACACGAAGUGCUUUGUUAUUUGUUUAAGACAGAAUCUUAGGGCUCAGACAUAGUUCAGUGGUUAGAAGCACUGGCUGCACUUCUAGAGGACCUGGGUUUAAUUCUCAGCACCCACCUGGUGGCUCACAACUGCCAGUAACUCCAGUUCCAGGGAAUCUGAUGCCAUUUUCAGGGUACCAGGCACACACCUGGCACAUAGGCAUUCAUGCAUGAAAGACACCCAUGCAGAUAAAAUAAAUUUUUGGAGGGGGGCAUGGUUUCAAGACGGUUUCUCUGUGACUUUGGAGGCUGUCCUGGAGCUAGCUCUUGUAGACCAGGCUGGUCUUGAACUUACAGAGAUCUGCCUGCCUCUGCCUCCUGAGCACUGGGAUUAAAGGUGUGUGUCACCACCACCCAGCAAAAUAAAAAUAUUUUUAAUUAGGGGCUGGAGAGAUGGCUCAGAGGUUAAGAGCACUGGCUGUUCUUCCAGACGUCCCAAGUUCAAUUCCCAGCAACCACAUGGUGGCUCACAACCAUCCGUUAUGAGAUCUGGUGCCCUCUUCUGGUGUGCAGAUAUACAUGGAAGCAGCAUGUUGUAUACAUAAUAAAU
ensembl:lincRNA